rnacentral:lncRNA from 1 species
CCCCACGCUCACGGCUCCUUUCUCCCACACUCACUGCCCUUCUUCCCACAGCAAAUCUAUUUCAAGGACAGUACUUUUUAAAAUGAUUAAUGUUGAGUUCUCAACUAGCUCUGCAGAACUAGAGGAGCUGUUUGCAUCUGUCUGUGCGGAUGGAGUUUCUUUUAUCUGACACCAGGUCUCCAACCACACUGAAACAAGGCAUUUAUCUACAGAGCUCAACUAGAACCCCUUUUCAUUAGGCUACUCCACUUCCUUCCCCUCAUACCUACCCCACAUCAGCCACGUGGUUAAGAAGGAUAGUCAGGAAUGUUUUUACCAACUCCAAGCCCUAAUUCAUACUCCUCCAUAUCUC